rnacentral:rRNA from 1 species
UGAACGCUGGCGGCGUGCUUAACACAUGCAAGUCGAACGAAGCUCUUGACGCAGAUCCUUCGGGUGAAGCAGAUAGAUGACUGAGUGGCGGACGGGUGAGUAACGCGUGGGUAACCUGCCCUAUACAGGGGGACAACAGUUAGAAAUGACUGCUAAUACCGCAUAAGCGCACAGCUUCGCAUGAAGCAGUGUGAAAAACUCCGGUGGUAUAGGAUGGACCCGCGUCUGAUUAGCUAGUUGGUGAGGUAACGGCCCACCAAGGCGACGAUCAGUAGCCGACCUGAGAGGGUGACCGGCCACAUUGGGACUGAGACACGGCCCAAACUCCUACGGGAGGCAGCAGUGGGGGAAUAUUGCACAAUGGGCGAAAGCCUGAUGCAGCGAACCGCCGCGUGAGUGAUGAAGUAUUUCGGUAUGUAAAGCUCUAUCAGCUGGGAAGAUAAUGACGGUACCAGACUAAGAAGCUCCGGCUAAAUACGUGCCAGCAGCGGC